AAAUUGAAGAGUUUGAUCAUGGCUCAGAUUGAACGCUGGCGGCAGGCCUAACACAUGCAAGUCGAACGGUAACAGGAAGCAGCUUGCUGCUUUGCUGACGAGUGGCGGACGGGUGAGUAAUGUCUGGGAAACUGCCUGAUGGAGGGGGAUAACUACUGGAAACGGUGGCUAAUACCGCAUAACGUCGCAAGACCAAAGAGGGGGACCUUCGGGCCUCUUGCCAUCAGAUGUGCCCAGAUGGGAUUAGCUUGUUGGUGAGGUAACGGCUCACCAAGGCGACGAUCCCUAGCUGGUCUGAGAGGAUGACCAGCCACACUGGAACUGAGACACGGUCCAGACUCCUACGGGAGGCAGCAGUGGGGAAUAUUGCACAAUGGGCGCAAGCCUGAUGCAGCCAUGCCGCGUGUAUGAAGAAGGCCUUCGGGUUGUAAAGUACUUUCAGCGGGGAGGAAGGUGUUGUGGUUAAUAACCGCAGCAAUUGACGUUACCCGCAGAAGAAGCACCGGCUAACUCCGUGCCAGCAGCCGCGGUAAUACGGAGGGUGCAAGCGUUAAUCGGAAUUACUGGGCGUAAAGCGCACGCAGGCGGUCUGUCAAGUCGGAUGUGAAAUCCCCGGGCUCAACCUGGGAACUGCAUUCGAAACUGGCAGGCUUGAGUCUUGUAGAGGGGGGUAGAAUUCCAGGUGUAGCGGUGAAAUGCGUAGAGAUCUGGAGGAAUACCGGUGGCGAAGGCGGCCCCCUGGACAAAGACUGACGCUCAGGUGCGAAAGCGUGGGGAGCAAACAGGAUUAGAUACCCUGGUAGUCCACGCCGUAAACGAUGUCUACUUGGAGGUUGUGCCCUUGAGGCGUGGCUUCCGGAGCUAACGCGUUAAGUAGACCGCCUGGGGAGUACGGCCGCAAGGUUAAAACUCAAAUGAAUUGACGGGGGCCCGCACAAGCGGUGGAGCAUGUGGUUUAAUUCGAUGCAACGCGAAGAACCUUACCUGGUCUUGACAUCCACAGAACUUUCCAGAGAUGGACUGGUGCCUUCGGGAACUGUGAGACAGGUGCUGCAUGGCUGUCGUCAGCUCGUGUUGUGAAAUGUUGGGUUAAGUCCCGCAACGAGCGCAACCCUUAUCCUUUGUUGCCAGCGAUUAGGUCGGGAACUCAAAGGAGACUGCCAGUGAUAAACUGGAGGAAGGU
rnacentral:rRNA from 1 species